AUGACGCUCAUCAGUUGGAACUGUCGGGGGAUUGGGCAACCCCAGAGUGUUCGAGAGCUUGUGGAGCUUGUCCGUAUUCAUAAGCCCAAACUAGUGUUCUUGUCUGAGACUCGGAAAAGCGAUGAGUUUGUGAAUAGUCUGAGACGGCUAGGUCUCCGUCAUUGUAUCAUGCAAGCUGGCUCCGGGAAGGGUGCCGGCAUGGCUUUGUUCUAUGAUGAAAGUGUGGAAAUUAAUAAAAUCAUUGUUGGCCCGAGGUACAUAGAUGUGUUGAUCCGCUUGUGUCCUAAUGGUGUGCAAUGGAGGGGUACUUUCAUCUAUGGGGAACUGAGAGCUCAUUAG
rnacentral:rRNA from 1 species